rnacentral:tRNA from 1 species
CGUCAGACAGCUCAAUGGUCUGGAGCAGUCGCCCGGCAAGCGAAAGACCCGGGUUCGAUUCCCGGUCUAGCGA